GAAUUGAAGACCGACCAACAGAGCCUGCAAUGCAAACAGAGAGGCAUGAGGAAACUGAAUCCAAUCACAUCAAAUCAAAUCGAGCUGCUGCACCUUGACCUUGAGGAAAACAAACCUCAUCUCAUGUCAUCUCAGGGAAGAAUAAGAAGAAGAAAAAUAUAUGGCUGCUGCUCCAUGACCAUGACCUUGAAUUGUUGCUGCUGCACCAGAUCGAGGAAGAAGAAGACCUGCAAAAAAAGCAAUAACUAGCAAUGCACAAGCAUGAAUUCAUGGAAGGACGGAUGCAAGGCCAAACAUCCAGCAUACUGUUUCUUAAUGCCCCAACUACUUAAAAAACCAUGGUAGUUCUAACCAUAUUAAAUUAAAG
rnacentral:lncRNA from 1 species